ACUUACUGUGUGCAUAAAUCACAUUUUCGGUGUCGAAUAUAAUCCGUUUUUUCCUGGAAUUGUGAUGUGGUCUGUUCCUAAAUCCAUCAGUUCUCUUUAGUGUUUGCCAAUGUUGGAGGUGUAACUGGGGUCUGGCCCUGGACAAAGGUAUAGAGCAUGGCUCAAGUGAAAGUGCAGACCUCAACGCCCCUGGCUGGCCCUGGCUUCUCCCCCCUGUCUCCCCUCGGGGCCAUGCCCAGUCCAGGACCCUUGGGUCUACAGCCCUCAGUCAAUGGCCCUGGGCCCACCCCCGGCUGCCUCGCUCCCUCAGCCGGGUAUGGGCCCGACACCCCUGUGUCUGCCAACUCACCAGAACAAUGUAACAACUCGUCUGGUCCAGGCCCACCCCAGGAGAACAUGGCAAACCCUAAAGAGAAAACUCCCAUGUGUCUGGUGAAUGAGUUAGCCCGUUUCAACAGGAUCCAACCGCAGUACAAGCUGCUCAACGAGAGAGGCCCUGCACACGCUAAGAUCUUUACAGUGCAGCUGUGUCUGGAGGAGCAGGUGUGGGAGGCGGAGGGCACCAGCAUCAAGAAGGCUCAGCACUCCACCGCCUGCCUUGCCCUCACUGAGAGCCUUCUGCCCAGGCCCGCUCCUCGCUCUCCUACAAUGGACGUCAACAGCAACCCAGGUAGUAUCACCCCUACGGUGGAGCUGAAUGGUCUGGCUAUGAAGAGAGGUGAGCCAGCCAUCUACCGUCCCCUGGACCCCAAGCCCAUGCCCAACUACAGAGCCAACUAUAACUUCAGAGGCAUGUUCAACCAGAGGUACCACUACCCAGUUCCAAAGAUCUUCUAUGUCCAGUUGUCUGUGGGCACUAAUGAGUUUAUUGGAGAGGGCCGGACUCGCCAGGCAGCCCGUCACAACGCCGCCACGAAGGCCCUGCAAGCCCUCCGCAAUGAACCCAUACCUGAACGACCACCUCAGAGCCCUGAGGAGCAGAAGGAGCUGGAUGAGGGGAGUGAUGCCUCUAAGUCAGAAAUCAGUCUGGUUUACGAGAUAGCCCUCAAGAGGAACCUGUCUGUCUGCUUCGAGGUCUUGAAGGAAAGCGGCCCCCCUCACAUGAAGAGCUUCCUGACCCGUGUGUCAGUGGGAGAGUUCUCAGCAGAGGGCGAGGGGAACAGUAAGAAGCUGUCUAAGAAGAGGGCUGCUCUCUCCAUUCUCCAGGACCUCAAGAAACUCCCCUUCACCCCGUUAGUGGAGAAACCCAAACUACACUACAAGAAACGCCCCAAGACCAUCCUCAAGACAGGUCCUGAUUAUGGCCAGGGGAUGAACCCCAUCAGUAGACUGGCUCAGAUACAGCAGGCCAAGAAGGAGAAGGAACCGGAAUACCUCUUGCUGUCUGAGAGAGGAAUCCCCCGACGCAGGGAGUUCAUCAUGCAGUCUGUGCAGGUGAAGGUGUGUGGCGAGGUAGCCACGGGAACAGGGCCAAAUAAGAAGGUGGCGAAGCGGAAUGCUGCCGAGGCCAUGCUACUGCAGCUGGGAUACAAGGCCUCCACCUGCCCACAGAGCCCUACUGAGAUGGACGACAAAGGCUGGAACGGACAAAAGACGGCUUUUAACGAAACUACGACUAACACCCAGAAGGGUCUACUCCACCUCUCCCCGGACGUCUAUCAAGAGAUGGAGGCGAGCAGGAAACAGGGGGCCCCUGUUAACUACCUAACCCCCAAACUAUCUGAUCCCCUGGUCGUCCCUCUGUCCCCUGGACACACCCCCUACUACAGCCCCCCCGCAGUUGCCACGGCAGCCAUGGCGAGGGAGCUGUUGAUGAACGGGUCAGGAGAGGGGAGGUCUGGGGAGAACAUAGGACUGAAGGGGAAGAGCUCUGUCCAGCCCUCACAGCAACUAGAGUACCUGGCUCAAAUACAAGGCUUCCAGGUGCUGUACAGCGAUGGUCAGAAUGGUAGAGAGUUCAUGACCUACCUGACACUCUCACCUGUACAGAUGACUUUCCACGGCAUCGGGAGCUCCAUCGAAGCCAGCCACGACCAGGCUGCUCUAAGUGCCUUGAAACAGCUGUCGGAACAGGGACUGGACACGGUGGACUGCCCUAUCAAGAGCAGCGAGGUGUGUGUCAGAGAGGACGGACACUGAACAGACUAACUCAGGCACCACCCACCACUCAGGUCGCCGUGGAUACAACAGGCUGUCGUCAAGGAGUUGACCCCUGACUCUUUCCCCAGUCACCUAUGACCCCUAUCCCCCCCCCCCCCCCCCCCCCACGACCGCCGCAGCAUCCUGGCAACAACCUGGAACAACAUACAACGGAGUGUGUGGAUGUGUACCGUGAAGAGAGAAAAAAAAAAAAAUGAAAUAACCGACUAACUAGAAAAAGAUGGGGAAAAACCUAUGAGUCUCUAUGUGAAGACAACACUAUUCUAACACAUUACAUGUAUUGAUCAUUUACCAGGAAUUUAAAUUUAAAAAAUAAAUACAAAUAUAUAUAUAAUAAUUUAAAAAAAAAUAGAUUGAGUAUAAACACCUAGAUUUUCCCUGUUGGAUAGAUGUGGAAUGAUAUGGGUCAAACCCCCAAUACAGUUGGAUAGAUGUGUAAUGAUAUGGGUCGAAACCCCCAAUACAGUUGGAUAGAUGUGUAAUGAUAUGGGUCGAAACCCCCAAUACAGUUGGAUAGAUGUGUAAUGAUAUGGGUCGAAACCCCCAAUACAGUUGGAUAGAUGUGUAAUGAUAUGGGUCGAAACCCCCAAUACAGUUGGAUAGAUGUGUAAUGAUAUGGGUCGAAACCCAAUAUGUAUAUCAUGCCAUGAAGACAGAGGCAACAUUAUAGGGGGACAAAGUUGUGUAGCUUAUUUUCCAAAGGGGGUAAUUAUGUUUCUGUUUAUUUUCUAGUUUAUUCAUCUAACAAUGCUUGAGUACUGACUGUAUUAUAAAAUUAGCCAAUAGCAGUGCUGUGAAAGUUGUAGCAGUUGUCUUCUCAUACAGUAAUAUUCACCCAGCUUAUCUUUCAUGCUGAUAUUAAUAAAAUCAACCAAAAAAAAAAUAAUAUUAUAUUAUAUUACUUAAUCAUCUAUCUAUAUGGGAUGUGAAUGACUUGCAGAAAUAUCAUAUGCACAGAAAAAAGGUUUCUUCACAUGGACAAAAAGGCCAAACUGGUGUUUAGCAUUAAGCAAUAGAGAUAGCAGGCAGGGUGAGGGUCUAUUCAAUUGGAAGUCAGUCAAAUUCAGGAAGGGAUUUGAAGUUAAAACUUUUUAAAAAAAAUGUAAAGCAACUUUUUUUUUAAAUGUAUAAAUAGCUCAUUUUCAAUUAAUUAAGAAAUCAAUGAAAAUGGAUGCCGUUCUGUUCAAUAAUUGAAUUGCAAUUUCAGUUUAUUUCCUGAAUUGACUGACCUCAAUUUGAAUUGAGCCCGACUCUGCUAUCAGGUGACUGUGAUGUGGUUAGGAGGAAGGUUGGGCCAACCUCUCUGGGUCCUGCAGAGAGAAGCAGCAGGUUGGGCCAACCUCUCUGGGUCCUGCAGAGAGAAGCAGCAGGUUGGGCCAACCUCUCUGGGUCCUGCAGAGAGAAGCAGCAGGUUGGGCCAACCUCUCUGGGUCCUGCAGAGGGAAGCAGCAGGUUGGGCCAACCUCUCUGGGUCCUGCAGAGAGAAGCAGCAGGUUAGGCCAACCUCUCUGGGUCCUGCAGAGGGAAGCAGCAGGUUGGGCCAACCUCUCUGGGUCCUGCAGAGGGAAGCAGCAGGUUGGGCCAACCUCUCUGGGUCCUGCAGAGAGAAGCAGCAGGUUGGGCCAACCUCUCUGGGUCCUGCAGAGGGAAGCAGCAGGUUGGGCCAACCUCUCUGGGUCCUGCAGAGAGAAGCAGCAGGUUGGGCCAACCUCUCUGGGUCCUGCAGAGGGAAGCAGCAGGUUGGGCCAACCUCUCUGGGUCCUGCAGAGAGAAGCAGCAGGUUGGGCCAACCUCUCUGGGUCCUGCAGAGGGAUAUACUAUGAAGCAGGAUCAAGGAAUUCGCCAGACAGAAAUAACAGAUUUUCUGAUUCAUUAAAAAAGCUCAACUUAUAUAUAUGAGUUGUUGGUUGUUGAAGCAAUCAAGACCAAUUAAGAAUGUUUCUGCAAGUUAGCUGGCAAACUCCUUGAUCCUAAUUUGUAGUAUACCCCCUUGGUCUGCCUGACCUCGUGUAAGGACACUUCACCACAGACAGCAUCACUAGAAUGGGUUCUUCUCACCAGAGAGGUAGAGGAGAGUUUGGCAGCCAUGUUGGUAAGGACCUAAAAGCAUAAUACUGUAAAGUGUGUAAUGUAACAAGCCUACUCGCCUACCAUAGAGGCUGCCUACCUUUCUAGAACGCAGAUAGUAGCAGAGUAUUCUGGAAUGGACAAGGUGUUCUAGAAUACACCUGAUGGGUUCUAGAAAGGACACCAUGUUGUUGAUUAUAAUGAUGACAUGGCAUUUAGUGACUGAAAGUCUCUAAUAGACCAGUGAUUCUAUGUUCGUGGAUUUUUUCCCCCUUCUCUUCCCUCCCUCCACAGUUAAGUCGAUUACAUCUACACCCAUUGUGUGUGUUAUAUUGGCCCGAUGCCACCAAGGCAUCAACUGGGUGCUUUUAAUCUGUGUAUUCUGAACCCUGUGAGCAAAAGAUGUUUAAAAGAUGCUUAAAUACAUAUGUUAUAUUGAAAAGACGUCUUUUCGACAUCUUGUGCUCACUGGGAAUCAUCUCUGAAGUGGCGAAACCAUCCAACCAUUAAUUAGCAGGGUUUCACCCAUUCAGAGAUCACUUGAAUCUAGGGUUGCGAAAUUCCCGGUAACUCUCCCAAAAUGACCCGGUUUCCCAGAAAUCCUGGUAGUGAGACCAGGAAUCGUCCAACCAGGAUUUCUGGGAAAACACUGGGAUUUAUUUUAUUUUUUGUGUGGAAAAAUGAUCCUAAUUUUGCAACCCGACUUGGAGCACUUGUUCACUGACGUGGAGGAUGUGGGAGGAGCAACGUGUUAUAAGUAAAGUCGCCUCGGUUCCUGUUGA